CCUACGGGAGGCAGCAGUGGGGAAUAUUGGGCAAUGGAGGAAACUCUGACCCAGCAACGCCGCGUGAAUGAUGAAGGUCUUCGGAUUGUAAAGUUCUUUUCUAAGGGAAGAAGAACGUGACGGUCCCUUAGGAGUAAGCCUCGGCUAACUACGUGCCAGCAGCCGCGGUAAUACGUAGGAGGCAAGCGUUAUCCGGAAUGACUGGGCGUAAAGGGUGCGUAGGUGGUUUUAUAAGUUGGUAGCGUAACUCCGAGGCUCAACCUCGGCACUACUACCAAAACUGUCGGACUUGAGUGCAGGAGGGGCAAAUGGAAUUCCUAGUGGAGCGGUGGAAUGCGUAGAUAUUAGGAGGAACACCAGUGGCGAAGGCGAGUUGCUGGACUGUAACUGACACUGAGGCACGAAAGCGUGGGGAGCAAACAGGAUUAGAUACCCUAGUAGUC
rnacentral:rRNA from 1 species